ACAUGAGGGUGCAGCUUAUCUGUCUGUCAUGCACUGGGAAUUACGGAGAAGAUACAUUGAAGUGCUUUGGAAGGAAUGGAUGCUGUACUCAGGAAAGAGCAUGGUUUUCCUGUGGCAUAAAAUCUCUAGGUUUGGAAGUUUUAUUCCCUUAGUAAGUCUUUCCUAUACUGUGCUGCCCUGUGGACUGGAGUGUUCGUGUAAUGCAUAGAGUUGAUACCAUUUGUCCGGACUACUUAGUGAAGAGAUUUUCAAGAUUUCUGGGUGGAGGCUGAGCCUGCUAAUAGGGAACACACGCGUUCAAGCCACACCUGUCCCUGUAUGUAGGCAGCACAGCCUCAGGGCCCGCCAGUUUUCCAUGCCGAGCUUCUGUGAUGUUCAAAGUCAGCGCUGAGGUCCCUGCACUCGAUAGAGACAUGCUUAUUUUAUUUUUUCCUUUUCCUGGGAGCCAGACUCUGCCAUUCAUCGCACAAAUUUAUUUCUAAGGACACGUUCCUAGUGUGACAUUUAAAACGGAUCCCGUUUGGGGUUGAUAAUCUUCAGUCAGGCUGGGUACGAUCCUGUGCAGUGGAAUCACUUCGGGUAGCAGCUCACGGCAUUGUGCCUGUUAGAGCCAGAGGCCUUAGGGGUCAGCCAGUCUCAUUUGGCAGAAAAGCUAACACAGGUCAGAGAGCUGCUGCAUAGAGCAGAGCUGGGCUGAGGCGGGGCAACACCUCGCACCCUCUGCUGUCUGAUUUCAUCGGAGAUGUUUGCCCACGUUUGGUGGGGGCACUGAAAAGAGAGAAGAUGUGGCAACUUGUGGCCGUGUCAGAAAGAUGAGCGGCAGGAGCAUGUCCCAGCUGGGGAGCGAGCAUUCUACCGCUGUGGGAAGCACGGGACAGCCAGACUUCUCACAUGAUAAUGGUUCAAGGUUCCUAAAGGCAUGUGAUCCAAGAGACAAGAAGCAGCACUGCUGAGCCUCUUAAAGCCAAGAAGAGGGGUUCAGAAGAAAACAACCCUGCCAACACUUUGAUUUUGGUGUUCUUGCCUCCAGCCCCUGGUAUACAUGUACCUUCUCCCAGUUAUUCAAUGAAACACCCACCUAGGAACUCCUGUGAUGUCAUUUUUUGGAUGUAAUUGAGUUUUCAGAUCAGUUGUGUCAAGAUAAGAAGAUUAUCUGGUGACAAUUUCAGGUGAAGGGGGUCUGGGGGGCGGUCUGGGGAUUACCUGACCACAUAAACCCUUUAAGAGCAGAGAGUAUUUUUCCAUCGGGUUACAGAAGGGGAAGUCAGACAUUUGAAGGAUAUGAAGGAUUUGAUGCACCCUUGCUGACUUGAAGAUGGAGGGGGCCAUGUGGCAAGGAUAUGGGUGGCAUCUAGAUGCUAAGAGCAGCUUCCAGAUGACAGCCAGCGAGGAAGCCAGGACUUUGUGCCACAACCCAAAGGAAUUGAAUUCUGCCAAUAACUAGAACGUGGAAGUGAAUUCACCCCCAGAGCCUUUAGAUAAGAAUUCAGCUUGGCCAAUUGAUGUCAGCCUUGUGAUACUCUGAGCAGGGAACCCAGCCUUGCUGUGCAAAACUUCUGACCUACAAAACCGUGUGCUAAUAAACGAGCAUUGCUUUACGCCGUUCAGUUUGGGGCAGUCGUGGUUUUCUAAUGGAGAACGUCUUCCUGAUCUGAGGGAACCGAGUUCUGAAUUAAAGUGGCAGGUUCCCUUUUUAGCAGAAGCCUACUGUCUGGUGCCAGAACACAUCCAUUGUAUCUUCUUCCUCCAUUUUCAACUGUCAUUGAUUUGCUUACCUGUCUAUUGGCA